CUCUCUUGGUGCUCAACCCUACCUGAGCCCCAUAGUCUUUUACUGGUGCUCACCCUUCUUUGAGCUUCUAGACUUUAUUGGUGCUCACCCCUACUGGGGCUCGUGGACUGCUUAGCUGCUCUGCCCUGACUGCAGGCCAGAGCCCCCUCAUUGCUUUGCUGCCCUGCCCUGCCUGACUGGGCCUGGGGCUCAGAGACUGCUGUACUGUUCUGCCCAGCCGGAGGACUGGAGCAUUAGGUGAAGCUAAUUCCCCCCCUUUGAGCUCUCCUUUACAGGUACCCGACAGCAAGGAGGCAUGGCCUCCCUCAGAGACUGACAGGGAGGGAUGGCCACGCAGCCUACACAAAUCCUAAAUCAAGUUUCACUUGCUUGAGAUCUUGGAUGUCUUACGAGAAUUGGUUUCCCAGUCCUUCAUAAAAGUCUUCUGGAAAAACAAGAGCAUCUUCAAGAUGAGAACAGGUGAUGGCAAACAAGGGACAGAUCCUACGGCAAGGAAGAUGGUUCUCAUGCACAAGCACACAAAGACAACAGUGAUGCUCAUAUGUGCUUUGUGAAGUAACUGGAAGCAUCGCUGAGAAAAUUAUGAUUGUUCUGAGGGUUAAAGGUGAGGAGAUCUGGGCUCUACCUCCAACUCUGCCACACACUUGCUGUGUGACCUUGGGCCAGUCACUUUACCCAUGUGCCCCAGUUUACCCAUGUGAAAUGGGGAUAAUACCACCUUGAUUCCUCAUAGGGUGCUUUUAGGCUUAUUUCAUUAAUGUUUGCACAGCACUCUGACGCCAGCUUAGCUUGUGUGUGGACUUAGGAAGUUCAUAUGUUGCCUUUCUAUAACACCUUCUACCAGAAGGAUCUCAGCAUGAGUAGCAGUGUCCUUGUUAGCCAGAAAACGUUGGGAACAGUCAAGAGUGUCACAUU